rnacentral:rRNA from 1 species
AGUGAACGCUGGCGGCAGGCCUAACACAUGCAAGUCGAACGGCAGCACAGGAGAGCUUGCUCUCUGGGUGGCGAGUGGCGGACGGGUGAGGAGUACAUCGGAAUCUACCUUUUCGUGGGGGAGAACGUAGGGAAACUUACGCUAAUACCGCAUACGACCUUAGGGUGAAAGCGGGGGACCUUCGUGCUUCGCGCGGAUAGAUGAGCCGAUGUCGGAUUAGCUAGUUGGCGGGGUAAAGGCCCACCAAGGCGACGAUCAGUAGCUGGUCUGAGAGGAUGAUCAGCCACACUGGAACUGAGACACGGUCCAGACUCCUACGGGAGGCAGCAGUGGGGAAUAUUGGACAAUGGGCGCAAGCCUGAUCCAGCCAUGCCGCGUGGGUGAAGAAGGCCUUCGGGUUGUAAAGCCCUUUUGUUGGGAAAGAAAAGCAGCCGGUUAAUACCCGGUUGUUCUGACGGUACCCAAAGAAUAAGCACCGGUUAACUUCGUGCCAGCAGCCGCAGUAA